rnacentral:rRNA from 1 species
AUAACGGUCCUAAGGUAGCGAAAUUCCUUGUCAGGUAAGUUCUGACCCGCACGAAAGGCGUAAUGAUUUGGGCACUGUCUCAACAGCCCGCCCGGCGAAAUUGUAGUACUGGUGAAGAUACCAGUUACCCGCAACUAGACGGGAAGACCCCAUGGAGCUUUACUGCAGCUUAAUACUGGAAUUCGGUAACCCAUGUACAGGAUAGGUGGGAGGCUUGGAAGCAGGGGCGUCAGCUCUUGUGGAGCCGCCGGUGGGAUACCACUCUUGGAUUGCUGAAUUUCUAACCUGCGGCCGUGAAUCCGGUCGGGGGACACUGUUAGGCGGGCAGUUUGACUGGGGCGGUCGCCUCCUAAAGAGUAACGGAGGCGCUCAAAGGUUGGCUCAGCACGGACGGAAAUCGUGCAGUGAGUGUAAACGUAGAAGCCAGCCUAACUGCGAGACCGACGGGUCGAGCAGUAACGAAAGUUGGAGUUAGUGAUCCGGUGGUAUGUGAGUGGAAAUGCCAUCGCUCAACGGAUAAAAGCUACCCUGGGGAUAACAGGCUGAUCUCCCCCAAGCGUCCACAGCGACGGGGAGGUUUGGCACCUCGAUGUCGGCUCGUCACAUCCUGGGGCUGAAUUCGGUCCCAAGGGUUCGGCUGUUCGCCGAUUAAAGUGGCACGCGAGCUGGGUUCAGAACGUCGUGAGACAGUUCGGUCCCUAUCUGUUGCGGGCGGAAGAGAUUUGAAGGGAGCUGUCCUUAGUACGAGAGGACCGGGAUGGACGUACCUCUGGUGCACCAGUUGUCCUGCCAAGGGCAUAGCUGGGUAGCUAAGUACGGACGAGAUAAACGCUGAAAGCAUCUAAGCGUGAAACUCCCCCUAAGAUGAGAUCUCUCACCUCGAAAGAGGGUAAGGGCCCAGGAAGACUACCUGGUAGAUAGGCCGGAGGUGGAAGUGCAGUAAUGUAUGGAGCUGACCGGUACUAAUCGCCCGAGGGCUUGACCUA